UUAGCCUUUUGACCCUAGAAAAUUUGCUCCUUAAAAAUUUUCCUUUUUUCUUGCUUUUUCUUGGGAUAUGAUUUUGUUGUUGUUAAAUGUUAACUGAGUCAAUGAAUACAUGGUGGACCAGUUUUCCGAGGGGUCACAUAGCAUAAUUUCCAGCUACUUGGGAAAAAAGGCAUUAAAAUGGAAGUUAUGGAAGUACUCUAAUGCAAUUAAAGGAGAGAUAACGAAUAUCUUUUGAUUCCAUAUGCAUAGCCGUGGCAUCUCAAGCUUCUUCAGCUAAUAUAAAAAGAAAACUGAGAAACAUGUUGAUGAUGGUGGUGGUGAUAUAGUUGAAGCAGUACCAAACCUGAAGUUGCUUCAGCAUCAUCAUUGGGAGGUGCUAGUGAGUAUGACAAUUCAACUCCAUUGGUCCAGGUUACGACAUACAAUAGCGUUGAAGUUCAGGAGUUCUCAUCUGAUGGCAAGAUUUGAAUAUUUUCCUCCCUGUUUUUAGCAGUAGUUGUGUAAUUAUUCUUAGAGCCUGUUUGGUGCAGCUUUUCCAAAGCUGUAAGUUGAUGAUAAAUAGAAGCUAAAAGAAUGAUUUCCCCAGCUUUUUUCAACUUUA